ensembl:lncRNA
AUAGCGAUAUGAAGUAGGUAUUAUUUUAUGCCUAUUUAUAGAUGAGAGACUUUUCCAAUGUCAUACAACCAGAUUUGGGAACCAGAUGACCCAACUCCAGAGCUCUGGCCCUCACUAUACUGAAGGAAUCUGUACCAACAUUGAAAGAUUGCCCCCAUGCUGAAAUGUGCCUGUAAAAAUAACAGAGAAACUUCAGAUGCAUAUAUGACUUAAAAGGUGGACAAAAGCAGAGGCAGAGAUGCAGGAGAGCAUCUGAUGCCUUUGGGAAGAGGAGGAGUCAGGUGGGUGUGGAGUUUCUGGACACAUGUGUGCC